rnacentral:rRNA from 1 species
AGUGAACGCUGGCGGUAGGCCUAACACAUGCAAGUCGAACGGCAGCACAGUAAGAGCUUGCUCUUACGGGUGGCGAGUGGCGGACGGGUGAGGAAUACAUCGGAACCUACUUUUUCGUGGGGGAUAACGUAGGGAAACUUACGAUAAUACCGCAUACGACCUACGGGUGAAAGCAGGGGAUCUUCGGACCUUGCGCGAUUGGAUGAGCCGAUGGCGGAUUAGCUAGUUGGCGGGGUAAAGGCCCACCAAGGCGACGAUCCGUAGCUGGUCUGAGAGGAUGAUCAGCCACACUGGAACUGAGACACGGUCCAGACUCCUACGGGAGGCAGCAGUGGGGAAUAUUGGACAAUGGGCGCAAGCCUGAUCCAGCCAUACCGCGUGGGUGAAGAAGGCCUUCGGGUUGUAAAGCCCUUUUGUUGGGAAAGAAAAGCAGCAGGUUAAUACCCCGCUGUUCUGACGGUACCCAAAGAAUAAGCACCGGCUAACUUCGUG